rnacentral:lncRNA from 1 species
CUCCUUCCUUCAAUUCUAUGGCUGUGCUGUGAGAGAGGGAGCAUUAAAAGCCAUAGAAUUACAGCUCUGCCACGCCGUCAUCGCACCCAAAAAGCAAACUAAAACUGGUAUUGUCUGUCGCUCUCUCCAUCUUUCUCUUUCUUCUUUCUUUCUUCCUCCUCUGUCACUGUUCUGCUGCUGCUACUUCUGCUGCUUCUGCUUCUGCUUCUGUUUCUGCUGCUCGCUCUCUGCAACUACUCCCAAUUUAAGUCUUACCCACGGACUCUUGUUACUUGCAUUCCUUUGUUCGUUCUCUUUCCCUCCAUCUCCAUCUAUCAAUCUAUCUCUUUGAUGAUGCUGAUGAUGAAGAUGAUGGUUUCUUUUCUUCGAUCCUUUUUUUUCUCUUGCGGGUUUUUGCUAAUACUUACUACUUAUACCGCUUCUCACUCAUUACUAAGCUAGCUGCUACUGACGAACUUUUUAGCUUUUUACCACCAUUUCUUUUCUUCUCUUUUUUUUUUUUUUCUUUUCUUUUUUGGUUCUUCUCUCACUACUUUCUCUUCUUUUUUGUAUGUGCGGGUUGGGUUGCUUUGCUUAGCUUAACUAUAGCUGCUUCUACUAAAUCCCUCUUUCUUUCUUUCUCCCUUCCUGCAUCCAGCAUCAUCAUCGGCCUCAAAAAGAUCAAUGGUGGUGGAUGAUUCUCUGAGAAUCCGGUGGUGAAUAAUAGCGCCACGUGUCAGACAACCAGCUUUUGCCCCCCUCGUGCUCUGUACCGGAAAACACGCUGCUUUACGUCUCUAUCCUUUUUUUUUUUUUUUUUUUGUAAUUCCGGAAUUGUUUAUGCAUAUUUGCUUG